GACGAACGCUGGCGGCGUGCUUAACACAUGCAAGUCGAACGGAAAGGCCUGCUUUCCCUUGUGGAUUGCGGGUACUCGAGUGGCGAACGGGUGAGUAACACGUGAGUGAUCUGCCCCCAACUUGGUUAUAAGCCAGGCAAACUGCGUCUAUUUUCCGCUAGGACUGCAGGGUGGUGCGUGUGGUGGGAAACGAUCUUCUAGUGGUGGUGGAUGAGCACGGGGCCUAUCAGCUGGUUGGCGGGGUAAUGGCCUAGCAAGGCGGCGACGGGUAGCCGGCCUGAGAGGCUGGAGGGGGACAUUGAGACUGAGCAGCGACCCUGAGUCGGAGGGGAGGCAGAAGUGGGGACUAUAGGACGAAGGGGAGAAGCCUGAAGCAGCGACGAAGGGUGGAGGAUGCAGGCCUUAGGGUUUUAAACUCCUUUCGAGGUCGAAGAGGCCACCUGGCUAGGAAGGUGGUGACGGUAGUUGUAGAAGAAGCCCCGGCUAACUCCGUG
rnacentral:rRNA from 1 species